UUUUUUUCAAUUUAUAGGGCGUGAGAUUUUUGAAAAUCUACAAAGGGGCGUAGAAUAGAAGAAGUUGGAGAUCACUGAUUUAGAGCAAUGAACAGAUGUAUAAACUUUAACAAAACUUUGAACGACCAUAACGGACAACGAGAAAAUUGAAAACACCGUUAUGGUUGAUGGAGGACUACAGUUGCAAAAGUCCAGACGAAAUUAAAGAAGAGGAAUAAAUACUUAACGUUCAUCAUUACGGUUGUCGAGAAACACGGUUCAGCAAGUCCGGCACUUUGGUUAGAUUAGGCAACGUACCAAAUGUACCGUAGUCUUAACAGUUUAGUAACAUCUUUGGUUUCUUUCGGUAAAAUCCUCGGUUGUAAAAACUAUCUAGAACCAUGGUUAGCUCAUACCCUUGUUAUCACUUAUUAAAGUGAAGCAACCAUCUCGCUAUGCGUUACUCAUUACGCGUUUCCACGAUCAAUAAAUUCAAGGUUUAAACAUUUAUUAAACAUUUACCGGUCCAAAUCGAUCUCCCAUCAAUCAAAUCAAUGACAAACUGGUGUUAAGUAACGAACAAAACAGAUUAAAUUCAAUAAAUUAAUCAUGAACUCUGCUGAUGGAUUGUUAAGUCAAGAUGUUUUGAAACCAGAAUUUCAAAAGAAUUGUAAUGUACCAGUAAAUGACAAGAACUCAAAAAUUAUCAAAAGAGAUAAAAAGGUAAAUUUGAGUGAAUUAUAUUGCUUU